AAAUUCCAGAACAUCGGACAACAGCAAUAGAAACCCUACUAACUAGUACAGAAGUACAAGCUGAAGAAGAGAGAGCAUAUAUAUAAGUGAGUCAAAACCUUCGACGGAGGAGUUGUUGGAUAGCAUUAGCGACAGGAGCAGGUGAACUAACAUGUGGCAAAUGUCCAUGCGUCGGCAGAAACUCCAGCACAGUCGGGCCACCGAGAUGGCGUCGCAUAUACUCGGCAACCGCUGGCGGGACAGACAGAUCAACAGAGCUCUGAAUUAUACAAACGGGAACCCUAAUAAGGCCCAGCACGUGCCUUAGGUCAGCUGCAAACGCUGUUCUUGCGACAUGCAAGGCAAUGUCAGGCCUCAUGCUGAACAAAGUCCUGCUGAAUUCUUGGAGAGCCAUGUCAGGCACGUCCGCACCAAGUGCCAUUGGUACAAAGCCUGCGACCCAGGAUUCAUAAUUGCUCUCCAUUCUUCGGAACACUUCUUCCAUGUGAGCUGGAUCAAUACCCCCAAUAUAAUUCCCAUCAUUCGUGAACCUGAUCAUGAAUUCAUUAAUUAAUUCAUUUUAAGUUUAAUUAAUUUGCUCAUCAUAUUCAUAGAUCAGUGUCGUCUCGCAAGCUAAUAAAUUUGUAGUAAAUUAAACGGAAAAAAGAAUUAAAGUGAUCCAGAAAUUAAUUAAAUAAAACAAUUAUACAUACCUUGGAGAACCGCCAAUGAGAAUGAGUCUUGAGAAAAGGUUGGGACGGUGAAUGGCGGCUAAGAGACCAAUCAUAGCCGAUACUGAAUGACCAACAAAGGCGCAACGAUCAAUUUCAAGGGCGUCGAGAAAGCUGAGCAAGUCAUCAACGUAACCAUCAAGAGUGGCGUACCUUUGGAAAUCAUAAUUUGUUGGGUCGCAGCUUCCUGAGCACAUUAGGUCAAAGCUGAUUACACGAUAAGCACGGGUGAAACUAGGGAUAACGCGACUCCAUACGGAUUGGUCAGACCCAAAUCCGUGGGAAAACACGAUGAUUGACUGCCCUUGACCUACUACUCGAACAUUUAGUGCUUCCAAGAGAAAUUCGCCACGGUUAUUGUAGUCGGCCAUUUUAAUAGCAGAUUUAUUAAAAUUAAUUUAUGAGUGAACGAAAGUAAUAUCGCAAAUAUAUUACUUGAUUAGAAAGAAAUUAAUAUUGAUUGUUGGUGCAAGUUUUGAUAUGUCUCAAGGCCUUGUUUAUAUAUAUAGAAGAUGCAAGAGCGCGGUCUGGUGUCUUACAGGAUCUAGGGUUUUGAUUGGGCUGUGUCGAUGCUAAUUGACACUCAUGUCUGUGUAGUUUAAUUGACAAAGGAAUAAUGUUUUCUUUAUUCGUAUGAGCUUUUUCUAAGUAAAUACAGAUAUAUUAUUUGUUGUUAACUAAAGGACAUGAAUUAAGUAGAGAACAAAUGAUAUGCACCCCACCGUUAAAUCCCACUUCAACCACACCAACGUAAAUUUUUGGGUAAAUUUAUUAUUAAUUUAAAAUUUAGGUAAUUUUGCUAUUAGUUUAGUUUUUAUUUAUUCUUGUAUGUUAUAUAGAAAUUUAUGCGAUCAAGAGGACAAACACAUGUCAUUGGGCAACAAUUAAUUAAUAUGUUCUCUUAGGAGGGAAUAUUUAUUCGGCAUAAAUAUUGGCAUGAUGAGAGAGUUUUUAAUUUCUAUUUGUGUUAUAUCUUAUUAGAUUUUUGUCAUGCCUGUUUCUACAUUAUCAUAGAUGAUUAAAAUAUACACGUGAAAGAAUGAAUUUUGAUUUCGAGCAAAAUAUAAAAUUUCAAUUUGGUGAUUUUGGAUAAAAUGAUACAACUAAUUAAAUUAUGACCAUAGACACUAUUAUAAAUAUGCAUUUAACAUGUAUUUUUAAAAAACUUAAAAACGCAUCUUAUAUCGACGCCAAAUCCAACCCUUCAAAGCAUUUUACGUAAGUGGUGCAUGCAACUUAAACGCCCAAUUUUCUUUCUCACAGAUGGCUUGAAGAUUGGUCCCGUAAUGCUAGUUGCUUCUUACACUAUUAUGGCCCUCUGGAGGUUUCAUUCAUAUGAUUUGUAACUUUAUCAGGUCAUAUUUUCCUUAGGACCUUCUUAUGAUUUGUGGGCUUCUCAUGCGUAAAAUAAAAUACACAUGAAAUUGAUGAUUAAUGAUUAAUACACAUGAAUGAUCGGUGAAUAAUUGAUGAUAAUAUUGGAGGUAAAUAUUUUCUAAGUCCUAGUUUUUAAGUCAAUCACUUAAUUAGUUAGUCUAUAUAUUUUUAAAGAUUAAUCAAAAUGUUUAUGUUGUAUAUUUGUUUGUAUUAAAAGUUUCUUAAUAACUGAAUCGUUUUGAGUAAUUUUUAAAAAAUACAUGGAUUAACGAGUUAUUUUCUUAAAUCGUAUUGACUAAUGGGGUUAAAUGAAACGAAGGGAGAAGUAAAUGGUUGGGGGUUUGUAUUGUUCUUGAAAUCUCUUGGAUUAACUGUGGUAUUUAUACGUAGGAACUAUGCUUUAUAUUUAUCGGUAUAUGGUCCCAAUUUGGAAACGUCAAAAGAAAUUUGGGCUAAACGGUGGCAAACUAACCAAUCAAAGAAGAUAUAUAUUUGUAUUAUGCAAUUCAAGCUUCUGGUAAUUAAUAUUCAGAGAUAUAUAUUUAAUUAAUUAAUACCCUUUUAGGCUAGGUCUCGUUUUUUUUUGGUUGUUUCUGAAAAGGAUGGUUAGGUCUCGUUAAGAUGAGGAGAGUGGCGAUGAUGAUGUUUAGUCACGGGUAAAUAUAGUCUUUGCGAAUAUAAUGGACUCUAGCUCUGAAAAGUUGCAAAAGUGAAUGUACUCAAGCACAGAAUUUAGCCGAGAAUGUUGAUAAUGGCUUACGGUUUUCUUUUUCACUGUCCAUGCAAAAAUUGGAAAAAAGAAAAAGAAAAAGAAAGCUCAAACAUGCCACGAACUCCGAGCCACUGCGGACUUGAUUCACAUCCUAAACAUAAAAUUUCAAUUUGAUUUAUUUUUCUUGUAAUCUAAUCUCUCCCUAGUUAGUUGAGUUGUACAUUUAAACUAGUAGGACAAUAUAUAUUUCCUGAGAUUGUUAUAAAUGAUGCUGACAUUGUAACAAUAUCAAUCACAACACGGAAGAGCAAAACGAAAGAAAGAAAAGAAAGAAUGGACUCGAAAAUGAAUUUUGGAAAGAAAGACAAAUCCUCCUCCUCCGAGUAAGAGUAAUCGAGUAGUCUUUGAAGUGAGUAAUGAGGAAGGGGAGAUUUCGGUGGGUUUUGAAACCGGCUGGGGCAGCAAACUGUUUAAUUUCUUGGUUCCACAACUCCGAAGCCGACGGUGGUGGGUCAUGGUGCUGGCCGUUGCAGCCACUCUUCAGCUGAUAAUGGUGGCUCACUGCAGAGGCCAUUGCGUUACGGUGGUACUGGCGCCCAUGGGGGUGGGGGACCAGGACUGGUUGGCCUUCAACACUUGGCUAGACCAUCCAUGUCCAUGCAGGUCUCCUCUCCUGGAAGAAUUUUUCAGAAGCCACUUUCAGCUCCUGCUUCUGCUUCUGUCGACAUUGAGAAGCCUUAUUUCUUUUUGCGCCAUGAAUGCGCAAUCUGGAGUAGGAAGUUUGAGACUGGUGAUGACAUUUUCAUGCUACUGGAUAUGCACUUCUCCCUAUCUUCGUUCAACACUUUAAUGUGUGUGCGUGUGUUUUAAUUAUUUUGUUACGAAGGAAUUUGAUGAAACAAAGACAAGCUUUCUCAAAUUGUGAAUUUUAGAGGGUUUCUUUGACAGGUUUUAACUUCUAAUUUAUUUAGUAAAAGGUCCACUAAUAUUAUCCACAUAAAAAGGUGAAAAAAUAGUUGAUUUCUUGGUGCUUGAAAUAUUUUAUAUAACCUGAUAAAAAAAUAAACACACACGUAAACUUCUAUUUAUUUCUUUGUUUUAUUUAAUUUCUUGGGAGUGCUUAAAAAAUUUUCAAUAGUGGAAAUUAUUCCUCGAGAUUAAUUUUAUUGCUCCGACGACAUCUGAAAAAGCAAGAAUGUUGACUUUUGUGGAAAUUAUUCCUCGAGAUUAAUUGUUGUGGGAUUUUAAUUUUGUUUUCUAUUUUUAGCACAUAAUGCUAACGGGCACAAGCCCUUAAUUGUAAGUAAAACUUUCAAUUUCGACUCAUCAAUAACAUAUAUUAAUUUCACAAUUAAUUAAUGGAGUUCUUUUUUUUUUUUUUUGGUUAAAUUUUCCGUAGGGAUGAUUAUGCUUUUUGCACCCUAGAAUGCAGGGCAGCGCAGAUAGACUUUUUUGAGAAAAGAGACUCGAUGAGCCGUCGUUGGAAGAAGGAACGACAAAGAGCAGCCGCUAAAUCCACCACUGCUUAUAGCAAAUAAUUAAUUUAUUGUUGGUGCAUGCAAGAAAUUAUCUUCUGUCUUAUGUUAAAGCUGUAGUGCUUAAUUUGAAGCCUGUUUUAUCUUUUUAUGUCAGUCUGCGCUGUUGAGGAACACGAUGAAGAUGCACUAUAUCUAUGAAGUUUGCACUCUUUAACUACUUCUAUAUACGUUUAAUGUUCCUUCUGUUUGUGAUCUGUUAAUUUGUACUACAAGGUUUAUUUUCUCAUCAAUUUGUCUUUAAUUACAUAUAAAUGAGUGAGUCCAAUGAAUUGUGGGGGAUGGGCAGCGUAUUAUUCUUUGCUGGAAUUUUCGUGUAUGGGAUUUGAUGGUGUUGAUUUUCAAUAGAAUGAGUGAAGGAGAUGCCAUCAUUUUUCUGAUGAAAAGUUAUAGAACUUUUUUAGUUUCUCUUUUGGCUAAUCUCGAUGUAUUGUUUUUUGUCGAGGCAGAAAUCUGGUCGAGUUGUGUAACGACCAAAUACCUACACCAAAAAUUUGUAGUUGGGAAGAUAGUUUUGGGCUACACCUUCUUGCCUCAAGCAGUAAUUGGCAACCAUGAGCACUCCUUACUAAAAUAUAUGCGCUCAUAGAACACAAUUAAAGAAAUACUAGAGAUUUUUUCAGUGUUAAUCCUCCAAUGUUCAAGUCCGUUCUUUGAGUUUAUUAAUAAAAUAAAUAUGUAAGUAUCUAACUUUGAGUUUAUUAGUAAAAUGAAUAUAUAAGUAUCUAACCUCGGUUAUAUCUGCUUUUACUGAAAAGCUUUUUACAAGUAUGACGAAAAAUUAAAAAGAAAAGAAAGAAAAAGAAUAAACUCUUGUUACUAUUUUUUCCCUAGAGAGAGAGUUUGUGGUAUAAAGAGAGAAAGAUAAACUUACCAGUUUGAAUUUUUCGGAGGCCCUUAUAAAGGUUAGAGACCUAUGACUCUUAAAUUGGGAGAUGGAUGUUAGUGAAUCAAGUUAGUGCCCUGAUUUUUCAGAGGGGAUACGUGAGUUGAUCUCUAAGUCUGACCGAAUUUUUAGAUAGAUUAAAUUUCUCCUCGUAGGAUUCCUCUUCAAGAAACCAUCCGCUCGCAACUCCGUAAUUUAAGGAAGUCACUUUGCGAAUGCAAAUUGAAUCUAUUUCAAGGGGAAUUCUUGAUGUUGUCUACAUUUAGGCUGUGUUUACUUUUUGGAGUAAGAGUGAGGAGUGUGGAUUCCUCCCGCCUCAGUGUUUACUUCAACAAAUUGGCUUCGGAUUGGGAAUCCCUCUCCGUGGGCCCCAUCCAUUUUUGGAGUGGGGAGUGGGACUCACACUCCCACCUCUCCCUUUUCUACCCUUUUUAAUUUAAUUUAAUUUAACUUAAUUUAAUAUUUAAUAAAUUAAAUAAUAUUAUUAUGUUUAUUUUAAAAAUAAUAGUACUAUAUUUAUUUAAUAUUAAUAAUUAAUAAUAAUAAAUAGUUUAUUCUAAGAAAAUAUUAAUUUUGUACUAAAUAAUAUUAUAUUAUUAUUUUAUAUAAUAAUAAAUUUAAUAUAAUUAUAUUAAAUAAAAUAAAAUAAUAUUUCGUUUUAUAUUUACUCUCUUUUUAUUAAAUUUACUAUAAUUAUAUUUAAUAAAUAUUUAAAUAAUAUUAUAUUUAUUUAAAUAAUAUUAUUAUAUUUAACUAAAUAAUAAUUUGGUUUGAUUCUAAGUCUAAAUUACUUAAAAAUAAUAUUAUUAUAUUAAUAGAGAAUUAAUAAUAUUACUAUAUACCAUCUUUAUUUGAAAAUAUAAUAUUAUUAUAUUUAUUUUAAAAUAUUAGUAUUAUAUUUAUUUAAUAUUAAUAAUUAAUACUAAUAAAUAGUUUAUUCUAAGAAAAUAUUAAUUUCAUACUAUGUUAAUAGUAAAAAAUAUUUCAUUUAUAUUGCCCUUAUCAAUAAUUUUUAAUUUAUAUAAUUAAAAUUAAAAUUAAUAAAAAUUGUGAUGUUCAUAAUUAAAAAUAUUAAUAAUUAUUAUAAAUUUACAAAUAUAAUAAAAUAAAUGUUUAUUCAUUAAAUAUAUAUUUUAUUAACUUUGUAAUUAAAAACUAUAAUUCUCUAAAUAAGGAUAAAAUUGUAAUUUAAAGCCAUUUACUCCCCAAUCCAAGAUAAAGUAAACACAUAAAUUGAAUUUUGAUCUUCAUUUCAUGCUUCUAUUUUAGUGUAAGUAAAUAACCUACUCUCACUCCUAUUCCACACUCUCAAUCCUGGGAUUCCUACUCCUUAGGAUUUCUACUCCAAUCCAAAAAGUAAAUGCUAUCUUAGUAUUGAGGGGAUCUCAAUUUGCACGGAGAAACAUCUAUUCACGCUCCCUCCUUUUUAUCCACCAAACACUCCUAAUAUUUUAUAUUUUAUAAUAAACAGGACACAAUGAAAAAAAAUUAUUUUAUUGGAGGAGAGUCUAAAAUACUAAAAUCACCUUUUUGUUUAUUUUUUUUAAAUUUUGAGAAAUGAUACAUAAAAUUAAUAAAUAUAAAUGGUUUAAAAAAUAUUUUGCACACGCACCAAUCAAAUUAAUUUCUUAUGGAGUCUUCAGUUUAGAAACCGAGGUUUUUUAAUUCAAUAUUUAAGAUUAAGCACGUACAAUCCUAUAUUAAGUCCUGUUUCGUCAAUAUACUUUGGAAUAUUGACCUCCCAUUGAUUGCGUUUUUUUGGUUGAUGUUACAUAUGAUGAAGAUCAAACUAAUUAAUAGUUUUGUUUUCUAAAAAAAUUUCCAUGAUUUAUUUAGUUUAGCUUGUAAUUAAGUCAACGAUAAAACUGUCAUAAUAUUGUGGUUUAUUUUAAGAUAAACUAAGCAUAGUAAUUAGUUCCACAACAUCAUCAAAUGAGAACACCAAACUCACGUACACUUUUAAGUUUCGCAACAGCGGCCAAAAAAGGGCAAUUAGAGUAGCAGUUUCACGACAGUAAUGAAAGCUGAAAUUAGACAUAUUCCUAGGACAUUAGUGUUGCAUGCAUUUUAAAAUUCUUCCGGGGAUAUGGCUACCUCCAAAUUGCCUACCUUGUAGUCCCUGUAGCUUCUGAGGGCAUGUUCUUGGUGAGUCUAAGAAUGGUUGAUACCAUUCGUUCUGAGUCAACUGGCUUUGUUAGAUACGCAUUCAUCCCCACCCCCAAGCAUUUUUUCUCAUCCGCAUUCAUUGCAUGAGCCGUUAGUGCAACAAUAGGAAUAUUGCGCGCACCGUGUUCUGAUUCUGAUUUCCUGAUUUCUAUUUUUGCUUCGUAACCAUCCAUCUUUGGCAUCUGAUUUGUCACGGAGACGUUAAACACGUUAAAGAAGUUUGUUGAAUUAAUUAAUGUACGCAUUCAAUGUUAGCAAAACGAUACCAAGGAGUAAGACUUGAUUUCUUACUUGGCAAUCCAUUAAGAUCAAGUCAAAUCAAGGGGUAUCGGGAGUUUCUGAUGGAGAUCCUUGCAGGAGAGAUCUCCUUCUGGAACUUUCUGCUGCAAGCAUCCGGUUCAGAGCUUCUACUGCCUGCAGUCCAUCUGGCACGACAUUAACCGUUGCUCCAACCUUUUCUAAUAUUUUGCAUGCCACUAUCUGGAUCAAUGGUGUGUCUCCGGCUAGCAGUAUCCUUAGGCCUUCAAGAGUUCUAUUUUGAUUACCGGAACUAUUUGUAGAUGAACAAGGUUGAUCUCGACAACUGCUUCCAAUCUGAUGCCGUUCCCUGCAUUUAGAAGUUUAACAUUCAAGUUUAAUUUGCGGCAAUGAAAUUGCUUGUUUAUUGUCGACAAACAAUAUACUUAUAUAGUAUCUGAUGUGUCAUAUUCUAACCUGAACAUGGUGUGAAUAAGAUCUUCUGUUCUGGAACUGCUUUCCCCUGGACAUCUACUAUUGAACUCAAAUGAACACUUCCUGAACGUCUGGUGCUUUGAUGCACUAUAACUUGCAAUGCUUCCCCUAAUUUCCUCCCCAUUGCCUCCCGUAAUUUCCUCCCCAUUGCCUAAUGCGAUUAAAGAAACAGAUCCAUAAGAAUUAACCAAGCUGCAGGUACCUCUAGUGGAAUUAAUUAUUUUCAAGACAUUCUUAGGAAUUACAUACCUUCAUUUGUUGUACUUGAAAUUCUACUUAGCAUUCCAAGAUUUUUCCCCCUCACGGCAGUUUCCAAAAUUUGAAUCAUCUUUCCUUUAUAGAGCGGUUUGCUAACCACUAUAUUCUGUCCUUCCCUGCUAAGCUCUGUCUUUAUAGGAGACAUGGUUUGAUGGUUUACUACCCAUGCAAACAUCGCUUUCCGGUGGAAUAUGUCAGGGAGUUUAGCUGUUCCCUCCAUAAGUCUGAACUUAAGUCAAGUAGUGUUAUAUCAAUCACUACAACAUAAACAGGGUCAAUCAAGGCUUUGAUGUUAGUCAUCUCAGCUUUCAAAGGUUCACUUGAUGAAUAUGGAGCAUCAAAACCAUUACUAGAGACUGGACUGAUAGGAUCAAGGAGUUCCCGGAGAAUCCGAGUUAGCUCAUGCCACUCAGAUGUUUCCAAAGUGGACACUUUUUUCUUGCGUAACCAUUGGGAAAUGAUCAUUCUUUCCAUACUACCAACUGUUGCAAGCACCACCUACAUUGACAUGAUAAUGUGUGAGCUUUCACCCACGAGACGUGUUUUAUGUUCCAAACGAUGUAAUUUUGCUCACCACAGUGUUUGGAAAAUCAGCAUCAUAAAUCUGCUUUGAUUCUGAAGAUGCGCCCAGGAGCAGGUAUAGUUGCAUCAGAGUUCCUGGGCUGUUCUUCUUGACAACUUUGAUUUCUCCACCCAUCUUGUUCACCUGUCCUAACCAGGAUGAUUCAAAGAUGAAAGUAAUUCCAAAACCAGGCCUAGCAGAUUAAAUAAACCUUAAAAAAAAAAAAUUCUACUUUCAUAUUGGUGUACCCACCAGGGUUCGCACAAUGGAUAGCCCAAGGCCAGUCCCACCAUGCCUGGAAAAAUGCAAAACUCUUUAGACAAAAAUUCUGAAAGUCUCAGACUUUUUUGUUCCAUGAAUUGCUUAUUAUUCAUAUGCUUUUGAUGAAUAAAUUUUGUUAAUCUAUGCGAUUAAGUGUCAAUUUAAAUUUGUAUUUGAAGAAUCCAUGACAGGAUAAACCACUUACUUUCGGGUCGUUGAGGGAUCGCCUUGCUCAAAGCUUUCAAAUACUGUUUCCCAUUUGCUCUGAUCAAUCCCUAUACAGCAUAAGAAACAGGCAUGUAGUAAUUAUUCAGAUGUGGCAUACUUCUUUACCAAUGCAUACAGGAAUUUUUAAUUUGGUUUUAGACAUUUGAAAUUCGUACCACAGCCUGUGUCAUCGACUUCAAAGCAAAGUGCCAAUUUGUUAUCCUCCCGAAAAUUCAUUGCGUUUUUCGCCUGUUGCUUCAAUUUUGUCCUAAAUGCACGCCCUAAUUUCUUGCGAUCAGUAGGAAACUCUGCAGUGUUUUAAAAGUGUCCAAAUUCUUACACCAUCCACGGAUAAUAAUGUGCCCCGCUGUAAGAUAUUUGAAACAAUUUUCUGUAAGAGCGAACUCUAAUCAUGCAAUCACUACCACAAAAUUAAUAAAAAAUGGGACUGUUAUAACAGUCUACAUGAAGUAUCGCCGCAUAGAACUAGCAAACUUGGCUGCGUGAUUGCUGCACUUACAUGAUGUGAACUUGAUAGAGUUGUUAAUAAGAUUUGAAAAUAUCUGAAAGACUCCACCAGGGUCGUGGAAUGUUAUCUAAAAGGAAACAAAGAUUUGCAAUCAUAUAUCAGAACAUGAUAUAGCCAGAAAUAUACAUUAGUAGAAAAAAUAAAGUUGCACCUGAAAGGUCUAAGACGGUCUCCACAUUAUGAUUACUGCACUGCACAGAGAACAAGUCGACCAGUUCUUCGAGCUCCUUUUGCAAGUCAAACUCUGUAUUUUCCAACUCCAUUUUUCCUUAUUCAACCUGUCCAGUGUUCAGAGUAAUUAGUAGGAAAAUGAUUACUGAUUCAGAACUUAAUGUUUUGAACAUAGCUGUAUUGACUUGUAACUGACCUUGCUUAGAUCCAAUAUGGGAUUAAGAAGUCGGAGUAAAGCAUAAGAGCUUUUUUUAAUCUGGCAGACAGUGGAGUAUUGUUCAUUGGUUAAUUGAUCAUCGGAUUUAAGAAUUUCCAGUAGCCCGAUUAUAGCAGCCAUUGGUGUCCUCAAUUCAUGACUGCAACGCAACAAAAAGGCAAUUUACUUCUGACAGGCAGCACAGCAAGUGUAAAAACCAAUCGUUGUGGUUGAGUGAAGAUAGUUGCAGGCCUAAAUUGGAAUGAGUUCUCUUUUAAAUUAUUCACGGUUUCUGAUUUAACUUUUGCAUAUGCCGUAAUGAAUCCUUUAAUAACCUAGUAUGUACUAUGUUAUAGUACUUUCGAUAUUGUGGAAAUACUGACCUCAUAUUUGCUAGAAAAUGGCUUUUGUAGUUGUUUGAGGCCUCUGCUUUUCGUCUUGCAUCAAGAUGGCUUAUCAGUUCUGCUCUUAGUUUCAUUUCCUUUGAUACUCCAUUUGUCAAUAUCAAAAUGCAAAUACAUCCGAUGGCCAGGAUACAUACAGAUGCAGAUAUCAGUAUAAUCAAAGUUUUGUAGGCUCUCUCAUCUGCUUUUCCCAUUAUGUAUUCUCUUGGAAUGAUAAUGACACCAACCUGCAGACAGUGAAUCAAUUCAAUAUCUUCUGAUGCUUGCAAAGGCAAUAAAUGCAAUAUUGGUAUAAGCAAUCACACAAGAAAUUCAGGCACACAACAGAAUUAUGUAACAAAAAGAUUGCGUCUUCUACAUUGUCGAAACUUACAAUAGGUAGUCUCUUUAGAUUUAGAAAAAAUGUGUCCAUGUAAUAUUGCUUGUGGCCAAGCUUGGCUUUCUGUACAUGAAUCACAUGACCCGGGGGAACCUUCUUCCAUAUUCACUCUGCAGCCAUUGAGCUCCCAUUUGUAGUACAGGAUUAUCGGAGUCAACAGCCUUCACAAGCUUUGGUCGCUAGCAAGUAGCCUUCUUGAGAGGUCAAAUAUAAGUGCCCACUAUGUACUUCAACAAGUUCUUUCAUCAGCUGGCCCACGCUAGAAAGUGCAGUAGUGGCACCCACAACAGCCACAAUACUUUUAUUGGAAGUGGUUGGGUCCCAAACUGGCAAUGCUGCUGAAAGCAAUGGUGAAUUAGUAAACUUGCUCACUGCUACAUGCCAUGAAGCCACUCCAUCAGGUACUUGAGAGAUUCCUGCAAUGUUAAUUAGAUCGUCCGGUGGGAUGGGGCUUGCCUUUCCUAUCUUCUCACCAGUGAUGGGAUCGAGUGGUUCCCGGUACCAAAUGGCGGAUAUAUUACCCUUUAUGGAUUGAAGUUUGAGAAUAGUUCAUGAAAAUCGAAAUUCUAUCCAUCUCUAUAACUAAAGUUCGUUCAUGUUAAGGAAAAUAUCUUUACAAUCGACUUAUUCAAACAACACUCCAAAGAGACUGUGACUAUUGACUGAGCAGAUCAUUAAAACUGGUUAUUCUAAAAAGGGAGCAUGCAUGUACUUAACAACAUUGGAAUUAAACCAAAUAUAUAAAUGGAUUAGAUGAAGUAAAAAUUAUAAUGUGAUCGGCAAACAGUCAUUACAUUAUAUAACAGCGUAGGCGUACAUAAUGAUCAAGAAAGCAGAAUGAGAAGCCCUCACAUUAUAUUUAUCGUCCAAGAGCUACGAUUAAAAUAAGUCCAAACAGGCAGGCAAAGAUUCCAGCCGCAACCAACAGCUUGUGAGCCCUGUUAUCAUUCCUUAAAAUAUAACCGAGCACGCAAAACAGCAAACCCAACAUUCCAAAUAGCUUGCUGCCAAACAAAAGCGUUCUAUCAUUCGCUGUCAAAGACUUCCCAGCACUAUAUACGAUUUCCGCUGAAGCGAAAACUAAAGUUGCGCCGAUAACAAGGAAAAUUUCACCCAAGCCGGCAGGAUUCAAAUUGAACCUUCCUAAAUCCCGAGGCGGCGGCGGCGGCGGUGACGGCGGUGACGGCGGUGACGACGGUGACGGCGGUGACGGCGGUGAAGGCGGUGACGGUGACGGUGGAGGUGGCGGUGGCGGUGGCGGUGUUUCUGUUGGUGGUGAAGUACGCUCGUCACCACUGCCAUCUCCGCCCUGCGCCGGAUGUGUUGUUCUUCUUGAUUUCUUACACGCCUUCCCAUCAUUGAGAAUAUGUGCCUUAAUCAGCUUGGCCAAUAAAUUAUCCACCAAUUUAACCAAUUCAAACUCUUGCGCCCGCCUACUGAUUGAAUUCCCGGGCUUGACGGAACCCUUAUACAAAACGCCGGGUACUGAUGAUGAAAAAGAAAAUACUACCACCGCCGCGAUAUAUUCAAUACAUGCUUGAAUUAUCUCUUCGAUAUCUACGAUUUUUCGAGAAUAGUGCGCAAACAAGACAUUUGCUCCAGCACGCAAUUUAUCAGGCCUCGCAAUCUUAUUUGCGACGGCUGGAAGAGUCCGUUCGAAAGACUGUGGUUGUUCUUCUAUUGAACCGCUAACGCAGAGCAGACAAAAAUACUGACACAACAUCUGUAAAAACAAUAAAGGAACGGGAAGAAUCCCAUCAAAAAGCAAGAAAACUAUCACUUGGAGUAUACAAACCGCGGAGAGUAGGAGGACCGCCGUGGCCUUUUUUGACGUCAACGCCAUUCAGCGAUCGACACAGCCCUAGCGGACCGAUUAAAGAUUUUGAGAGAAAAUAUUCAAUUAAAAGUCCUUUUUUUAAUUAUUUAUUUACGUGUCCAAGAAAAUUGCUCGGAAAUGACUUUGUGUAAAAGAAGGUACAAAACAACAACAACGGAUGACGUAAGACAUGACCGAUGCCCUUUGAAAUUUUACAGUGCAAGUAGGCUUUUUUUGGGUACAUUUUAAUUUAUGAUAAUAUGUAAUUUAUCCUCAAGGUUCUAAAAAAUAUACAGCAGCGCAGAUCUUUUAGUGUAAUUCAACGAGCGAACUAAUUUAAAUUUUAAAUUUCUAGCUGAAAAUGGAAAAAGAUUGCAUAUCAAAUAUCGCUGAAAAUUCUUACGAUUCAAGUAUGCGAACUUUUUUGGAGAAUAGUUACACUCAUGGUCCGAAUCUUAUAAUGAAGCAAGAAUGUGAACUUUUUUUUGUAAAUGAAAGAAGCGGCUCGUAUUACAUAUGAACUAUAUUUUUCUUGUUAACAUAUAUUACAUGUGAACUAACUUGAAAAGCAGUCAUAUUUUGCAUAAACAAUAAAAGGUAAACAAAAGAAAUGACUUCAUUAUUGAAGUGGCAUGUGACAAUACAUAGCAGAAGGAGCAAGCUGAAUGAAUGAAGCUCUAUGUUACUUCAGCCUAAUCAAGCAGAAAAGAAAUUUCACAAACAGGUUGGUUCACCUCCCUUUCCAAAGCCGAAUCUUAUGUUUUAUUUACAUCAAUCAUCAGAGCAUUCAUGGCCCCAAUCAGGUUGAGCUUUGCUUUUCUGAAAGAAGAGCUCUCUAAGUUAUGCUUAACCAAGCUUGUUUUUCAUCACAACUUCCAUCCAGCCAUUGACAGAAUAAUAACAAUGUCUUGCUUAAGCCAUACAGAUGAAUAUUAGGUGCCUCUCAACCCACCUACACCUAAAGCAACAUAUGUCCAAAAAGGCAUUGAUUUUUCAAUAACAUCAUUUGCAACACUACCCUUAUGUUGAGAAACAAACAUGCUUCUCACCUUCACUUGUUUUUUUUUUUAAAAAAAAAAAAAACUUGAGCAUAUUCUCAAGAGGAAAAAAUUCCAAUUCCAACAGUGAUAUUAAGUGGGUUACAACACAUACCUUGGUUCCCUUCUUCAGGUUGCAACCUCACAGAUAACCAAAAAUUCUGACGUUUCCAUGACAUUUUCAAAAUGAUCAACUAAGACAUAAGGAUGAGAAGGACACAUAAGGAUACUUCAUAAAAGAGGUAUCACAAGGCUGCAAAGUGAGGCAUUUCAUUUCAACAUCAGCCCAUCCACGCACGAAAACAAAGUUGCUCAUCAGAAUUCUGUCUCAAAGGUGCACCUGGCAAUCCCUUUUCUAAAAUUAAUUACAGAAUGUAAAAUUAACAACCCUCCCAGGCUCCCACCGCCCUUAAAAAAAAGAAGGAUGGAUAAAGAAGAAGAAAAUAUGUGUGGUGAAAUAUAUUCUUAACAUGAAAACUGCAGAAAUUUGCAUUUCUAGAUCAAGAUUUUUUUUUCCCCACAAGUUAAUAGCAACAGGAAGAGAAUCUAACCUGAUUGUUGGAUAAAUUCUGAACAGCAACCACCCAAGCGUGACGAGGGGCGAGACAACCCCAGAAAGUGGCAAGGCAAUGCAUCCGUUGUGGAGUGUACUGCAGCAUGCAGUACCACACAUUACAGACCUCUUAUGGCAUAAACAGGCAUAGUUUGGAAACGCCUCCAUCCAAUAGAAACAAUAGUGGCAUCUCUAAUCUGGAGAAUGUCGUGCCAUCUGCGUCCUUUUAACCUAAACUGGAAGAAGCAAUGAAAUUGAAACAUCUUAUGACCUAGAGAUAUUGUUAAACUAGAUAAUAACAUUAACUAUCAAAAUUACAAUGAAACAGUAAAUCUGGUUAUUCUACCUAAGUUAAACCAAUACAUUUAGCUGUGAACUUGUAAGCCAUCAUUUUUAAUAUGAUAAAAGGAUAAAAUCUUAUUAACAAGAGAAGAACCAUGAAAGUUCUGUAGUGCAGCAGCAGUCUACUCAUUAUUACAUCAUACUGAAAUUGAAAACAAAACUAUAAGACCAUACAAAUGAAACUAUAACAAAUUCAAAUAUGCAAGAAUGAUGCAUGAAGAUAUCUACUGAAAUUGUUUAGUGAAAGAAACCCACAAAGAUGCCAAAAACAAACUUUGACCCAUCAUCCGGAUACGGUUUCAGGCAUCGGGGAAACUAAACUAAAUAACAAGAAAAAAACAUUAUUUAAUAAUUCAAGAGGCAGUUUUCUUUUCCAGGAUGACUGAGUCUGUUGCUUGACUUCAGCAGUUAGUAAUUACCAACACCUAAAUAUAUUUAAUCCAAAAAACAUCCACAAAGUUUUGAGUGGUAACUUAGAAAAGACAAAAUGAAAUGACAACCCAAGUGAAGGGAAAGUGGAGGAAAAAGAAAAAAAAUUCACCACUGCACAUCAAAAUGUGAUUCGAGUAUUCUUACCUGUAUGUACCCAAAUUUUCCUCACCAAAACUGAUUCCUCCAGCCAAAACAUGAUGGCAGGGGUAAAAAUGUUUGACCAUCUCAAAAGGAAGAUCAUGUAUUCCCAAUCUUAGAUACAUCCCCAUUCGAAAGCCCUCUAUCUCUAAUUGAGUGACCUCAUCAAAAUCAUUGAGCUCGGUUAUAUUCAUUUUUUUGCCAGGCCUCUGUAAUGCAGACUCAGCAUCAGGCACAGAUGUCAGGAGAUUAGUCAAAGGAAAUCUUGACUUGUUGAGAGGCAAUACCAAAUGAUGGUGCUCCUGAAUCUGAUUAUGAAGCUUUAGCUCAGGGAGCUUCUGAGUUGACAUGCUCAACCAAUGUGCCAUGCAAUCACACCAUAUUGUAAUUGAUGUGCAAUUUAUAACUUGAGUGAGAAAGGAGCAAACAAAGAGACUGACGUUGGGUAUUUUCCAAGCCAAAAGAAAUGGAGCAGUUGGUGAUACUUCUACUAAACCAUUGACAGGAGGGAGGUCCAACCAUCUUGAAAGCAGGCUCAAUGUUGGCAACAGACAAUAUUGCUUGAUGUGUAAUUUUAGAUAAAAGACACAGAAUACGACAUGGACGAUACUGGUAACACCCUAUAUUUGCAGACCGCUACAGAAGUUCAGUUAUGCCAAUGAUAUAAUCAGCUUAUUGUAGUAGAUUAAUCAAACUCCACAAGGAUUCUCAAAACAUUGUUGCAAUAUGAUUUAUCUUUUAGUUAGAAUAGAUUAGAUGAUGCUUCUUGUACAUAUAGGAAAUUGUAUUGAUAAUAUGUAUGUAAUUCAGGCAUACAAGUAUUAAGUGAUAGUUAGAGCCUUACACCAAUUGUCUCUGGAUAAGUAGCAGAGCAUGGCUGUGCUUGUUUGCUCUUUGAGCAUUUUUGAACAAAGCAAAUACCACAACCAUAAUUUUUAUUCAUGACACAAUCAUAACCUCACAUAAAAGUUUAAGGUAAAACAGAAAUGGGAUUAUGGAGCACAAGUAAUGGAAAGACAUUCACUCAAACAGAUCGCUUAAAUGCAAAAGGUAUGGCGGCAAUAGGCAACACACAAAGAGCACCAAUAAGCCACAGCAUGAGAUUUUCAGGAAAUAGGAUCCCCAAGAUUGACAAGAAUCCACAAACAGUGGCAGCACAUCCCAUUGCAGCCAUCAGUCGAGAAGCUCUGUGGCUACGCUGCACAAUACAAGCACCAAGGCACAGAAGAAAUCCAACAAAACCUAAAAGCUUGCCCACAAACAAGAGAGUUCUGGCAUCUUCUGAUAAAGAUGUGCCAGUGCUACACCGAAUUAGUGGCGCAGCUACACAUACUUCAGCACCGAGAAAGAGGCAUAUCUUGGCCAAACUAGGGAAACAGAGCUGUCCUUCAGACCGAGAGGAUGCCACUCUAUCGGAUGGUGAUCUAUUUGGCGGUGGCUGUUUGUCCCCGUCUCCAUCUUCAGAUGAUGCAUUAUUGUGAGACGGUGAGGCCAGCCGAACCGAAUUAGGAGAAAUAACAGAGUAGUCAUGGCUCAGAUCAUCAACUUGGAGUAUAUGCUUCUCACCACCAUUGUCUCCCCAAUGCGGCUGACUUCUAAAAGCAGUUGUUCCAAACAUGUUAUAUGGCUUAAGAUCAGGCCAACCAUUAAUAUGUGCCAAAAGUUUAUCCACUUGAGGCAGCGUAUCAGGCCACUUUCUUGAAUUCUUCCAUUUGAGGACCAGAGGUUUAUCCAACUCUAGCUCCAGACGUUCAGUACAGACAUUUACCCGAGGUUCAGUUGGAAGGUUAAUUUCACAUAAAGACGGACUCUCCCAAUCGUACCAAAUUCGUGAAACAUGGGUUGGUCUUAAUGACAAAGAAGGUAUUACCACUUGCUCUACGCUAGCUCGACGCCCAAACAACUCCAAGCGAGGAUCAGCUGGGUCUUGGGAGUCGGAAAUGGGAUUAAUGGAUGCCCUUCUGAUUUUUUCAUCUUGAGCAUGACAGGAAUCAGAGACCGUCUCCCUGUCCAUCCUCGGCAGCACAAGGAAAUUUUCAAAUGAAGAUUCCUUAACGUUAGCUUCAUGUGAAGACCCGUUUCUUGAAUUCUUCAAAUUGACGAUAUACUUACGAAAUUUCUCUGCCCUAGUUGGACGAUCAAUCAACUUCUCCCACCACCGUGACGGAAAUCCUAUACGAACAGUUUUGGGUUGGUGGUAGGAAAUAGAUGCCUUUCUGAUUUCAUCUUUUUCAGUACAAUUGGGAUUUUCAUCAUCUUCAGCAUAAUCAGUCGUCACUCGUAUUAUUCUUGUCGUCUCCAGCGAAGAAGGACGAUAAAGCCAAGAUACAAGAUCCUCCGUCGAGAUAUCUUCAAGCGCGUUUGCCAAUCGAUCGGAAAGAGCCAUAUGGCGUGUUUGGUAAAAUCAUUUAGGGCAUACGAAGAAGAUGAAAGAAAAGCAGUGGACAGGUAAUAUUUGCAAAUUAAAAAGUCAUCGUGAUUUUUAUUAUUAUUUUAUUUUUAUUGAAUUAUUUAUUUUUGCGCAGAGGAAGAAAUUACUCGGAAAUGACUUGUGGGAUAAGGUAACCAACACAACAAUGAAUGACGCAAGAUGUGACUCAUGCUCCUUUCAAAAGUUAUACCAAACCGUAUACAAGAAAUUCAACCUAAUCCCAUCUUUUAAUUAUUAAUAAAUACACGCCAAUGGGCUCAUUCGCACAAUCGAUGCGCUCAAGGUCUUUGUGUCAAAACUGGGGGUGGGCACCAUCCUGCCCAAUCCGUGAGCCCGAUUCAAUCCGUAUGAAUUUUUACGGGUUGAGGUAGAUUGAUAAAAUUUAUGGGUCAGAUUGAGUUAUUAAAUUUUCAACCUGUACUGUUUAUGAAUUAGGUUGGGUUGUAAAUUUUUAACCCAAUCCAACCCAUCAACCCGUACAUAUAAAAAUAUAUUUAGCAGCUCAUCUGCUCGUGCAUAGAACAUAACAACAUCACAACUCACAACGUUUCUUGAAAAGUUGCCCAAACUACACAUCGUCACAUGCUCAGGUUCUUUCUUCUUUCUAUUUUACUAAUUUAUUAUUGUUUUGAAACAAGUUGAUCAAUUUUUUAUUGUUAAAAUGUCUAGCCCAUUUGAUUUCAUGAUUUGGUGCUUUAUAAUAUUUUUUUAUUGAUAAAAGUUGGUCAAUUUCUGGUUGUUAUGAUGGUGUCAAGCUUAAUCAACAAUCGGAUUAACAUCAAUAAAAUAAUUAUUAUUAUUUCAAUCUUUGGGAAAAGGUUUUUCGACAAACAUCUGCUGGGCAUUGUUCUGCAAAAAUAUUUUCAGUAUUAACUAGUCAUCUUCGGUUGAAGAUAUGGCAUUUUAUGAAUCAAUUACAUCAGAUAAAUAUUUAUAUUAUGAUUUAUAUUUUUAUUUAUUUUUAUUUUCCUUGUAUUUAUUUGUUAUAAUAUAUAUGCCAAAUAUUUUUAUUUUUAUUGUUAUAUAGAUUCAAGAUUGGCAUCAGAUUUUGAUGUCAUUAAUUUGGAUUGAUAUGGAUUUUGAUGUCAUUGGACUGAUCUUCAUUACACUCCUGUUGGUUGGUGUUGAGCAAUGGUUUGGGGAAACUCUCUUCCUAUGUAUGGAAGACUUAUAAAAUUUUUCACUCUUUGGACUUCAAUGUUUUGUAUUAAACAAGAUUUUAAAUUUAUGGACUUUUAUUUUCAUUAGUUAUGUACUAAUAAUUUGAUUGUUAAAUUUUGAAAUAUUGGAUUUGUUGUAAGGAUUUUAAUAUUUUUUUUUUAAAUUUUUUUAAUUAAUUAAUUUAUUUUUGUUUAGAUCAUAAAAAUGGGCUUUUUCAAAAGCCCAACCCAAACAACCCAACCCGACCCAACCCGCAACUCUGCGAGUUGGGUCGAAUUUUUUCAAUCCGUUCUAUAUGCGGGUUGGGUCGGGUUGAUUAUCAACCCGACCCGUGUCCACCCCUAGUCAAAACCAUUGAUAGGAUUUAAUUUUUUUCUCAAUAAAAUUAAGUAAAAAUAAAAUUAUUUCUCUCUAAUUUAGGAUAAAAUAGAUAUUUUUUCUAUAUUAUGUUAUAAUAAUAAAAAAUUCCCUAUAAUUUAGAGAAGGAAGAAAACCUCACAUAAACGAAGGCCCUUAGGAAUCUUUCUUAUUUAGAGAGAGUACUAUAAUAAUUUUAUACCUAAUUUCUUAUUUUAGAAGGAGAUGGUGAUGAUUAUUUACACAAUUUCUUAUUCAAAAAAAGGACGUGGAUGGGGCGGAAUCCUCAUCCUCUCCCCAUUUUUUCAUUUUAAUUUUUAAUUUAUUUUUCUAAAAUUAUUAGUGAAUAAAUAAUAUUUUAAAUUAAAAAAUAUCAAAGAUUAAUGUAAAUAAUAAAUAUCCAAAUAUUUAUGCAAACAAUAUAAAUAUUAAUUAAUAUAAAAAGUUUAAUGUAGUUUAGACCUAACUAUAGCCCAAAGCCCAUAGUUUAUAAAUCAAACUCUAAGUCACUUUUUCACAAUUUUACUCAUCUUUUUAAAAUCAUUCGCGCCGUAGCCAACCCCAAACUUGUCAUCAUCUCGUCAUAGCCAGUAGCACAUUGCGUUGUCGACGACAAAAUAGCCUAACUCAUUACAAUGUCAGCUAGCAGCCCCACACACUACCUCGUUGCACCAUAGUUGGUGGGCAAAAGAUAUCAUUGUUGAUGGAUAAGAUUCAUGUCAAUAUUGUAUAAAAAUCAUAUUAUAUAAAUUUUAUUUUGAAAAUUAUUAUUUGAAUAUUAUAUAUACAAAAAAUUUGAUGAAGCAGAACGAAAUAAGACGUAUUCAUGAUCAUUCUCAUUUGAUUUUAUAUAUUUAAGGUUAAUAUGACUAAAUUAAGUUCGAAACUAAAAAGAUAUCAGUUAUUCGGAGAUGAUGGACUCUUAGGAAUCCAUGUUAUUAUCUAGGGAGGGGACAUAAAUCCCUUCAAGCAAUUCUAAUGGGGACGGGGAGGGGACGGGCACAAAUGUAGAAUAUCAGAGAUGAGUACGGGGAUGUUGGUCCUCUCCUCUCCCCUCUCCAUUGCCAUCCUUACUAUAAUCUCUCUAAUAUUAUACGAGCGUAGAAAGUCGAAAUGUGUCGUAAUAGAAUUAUUAAGGAUAGUCUCUUACAUUCUUUUUUAUUAUAAAUACUAAUAGAAUUAAUGUAUCUAAGUAAUAAUAUAUUAUUAUUAAUUAAUACACAAAACCAAAUGCGGUCACUAGUUAGGCCAUUGUUAACUUUCCGCGCGGGGCAGCCAUUGAAGACUUUUGAAAAAAGAAUACUCGAGAGGAAGAAUUAGAACCACUUCAAAUUGGAUCCUCAGAAGAAGACGACAACGACGAAGAUGGUGUUCAAAACCCAUGAAGAUAGCUAAGAAUCACACACUCACUCAUUGAUUUUUAUUGUGUAUUCCUCCCUCUCAAUCGCUUGAAUUAUCUUACUUGUUCCAAAUCAUUACCUGACGGCUUUCAUCAUUUUUGCAGCUCACCCAUUUAUGUUUCAUGCCCUCAUGCUCCUCGUCAUGCUCUCCUUCGCCGCAACGUCUAGCGCCUUGUUGAUCCGAAACAAUUCCCCGGGUGCACCCAUUUGAUGCUAUUACUUAAUUUUGCAAGAUUAAUGUGUGAUCAGUAAUGCCUGGAAACAAAAAUAAUCAAAAGAAAAGAUAAAGUACGGGAGAAUAGAAUCUUGGUGAGAGAUAAAAUAUGAUGUCAUUUUCCAAUAGAUUUACUUUAGAUUUAGUUAAAAACAUAUUAAAGUAACUUGUCCUCCAUUUUCAAUAGAUUUGGGAAUGCAAUGAGUGCAUAUCUAAUAUCUUCAAGUAGACUAAGAAUACACCUUUUCAUUUUGGAGUUGUAAUAUCACAAUCAACAAUGAUGACCUUUCAGGGAAUUUUAGUUGUAUAAUGCUAAAGAUUCUCUUAAAAAUAUACGUUAUUACACAAAUCAAACAAGUUAUUACAUGAUGUUAUAUAUAGAAAUUCAUUUGGUAAAAAAUCUAUUGUAUUAACCUCCAAGGAGAUUGCAUUUAAUUUUUUUAGUUGCGAAAGAAGAAUUUGGUGAGGUGGUGUAUGAAGAGAAAAGUAAUGACAUUUUGGUUUAUUUUAUAAAUUGAUUUUAUUAUAUGUGUACGUGAAAUUUUAUUACACCAUUCAUCUUUGGUGUCAAAGUCGUCGAUCGCAAUAAAAAAAUAUUUUAAAGAGUAAAUAUGAUAUUUUAACAAAUAAAUAAUCUUUUUUAACCUAAUUUGAAGGUCUUAAAUAAUCAAUUCGUAUGUAAAAAUGUUACAUUUAUACUUCAACAGCGUGUUUUUAUGCCACUAUCUUAAUAUUGGGGACAAAAAGAAACAUUAAAAAUUUAUCAGUAAAAAUCCAACUGAUAAAAACUUAAAAAUAAUGGAAGUGUCAAUAUACCCCCCCCCCCUCUCUCUCUCUCUCUCUAUAUAUAUAUAUAUAACCAUGUACUGAUAUUUGCAAUUGAUUAUGGAAUUUAUACUCUUCAUUAGAGGGUUGUUAAAAAUAAAAAAUUUACACAUUUUUUCUUUAAAAAAGUUGCACAAUACAUUGUAUAAUGAAUAAACUAUUCAUAGUGAUUUUUUUUUUCUUUUUGGUUCCUUAGGGUCCAGAAUUGAAACAAAAAUGCUAACUUAUGCACAAGAGAAUCACAAAAACAAUAUAUAGUAACUUGAAAAAUGGAUGAAACUUUUUGUUGAAAGAGGGGAGGAGGGUGUAUACAUGGGCGGACCCAAUGAAGGCCCAAGGGGGGCUUAGCCCCCCUUGGGUUAUUAAAUUUUGUUUUAAAUGUACCCCAAGCCCUUUCUGAAAAAGUUAGAUAAAUAAAUUUGGACACAUUUUUUAUAUAUCGAUAGGCUUGUAGUUCAAUGGUAAGAGUGUUAUUUAAUGGUUUUAAAACCUUGGUUCAAAUCCCAUUAGCCACAUUAUUUUAUUUUUUAAAAUAUUUUGUGGAAACUACUUCGAAAAAUGAUAUUUUCACUCAUUUAAAAAAAUAAUUUAUUACUAUUAUUAUUUAGAAUUAAAAAAAAGUAAUAAAAUUUAAGUUUAUAAGACUUAAAAUAUAUUCAAGUGAACAUUAAAAAAAAUCUAUGUUAAAUAAUUUUUUUUUAAACUAAACCCCCCUCAUUUUAGUUUCUGGGUCCGCCACUGCGUGUAUAUAUAUAUAGCAGUAGUAUAAUCAUAUAUGAUAAUGAGUUGUACCGUUUAUAAUUUAUAAACAUAACUUGUUCAUCUUUUUUUUUUCUUUUCUUUAUCAAAUUUUGUUUUGAUGACAUGGUAAAUACUUUAGAGACCGCUAUCAGAAACCAAAUAAAACAGUCGCAGCCAGUUUUUGUUUGUGCAGUGAACAUAAUCAUAAACGAAGCAUGACCACUUUUGUCUUAGUAUCCCGUACUUUUCAUCAAAUUAUAUACAGCCAAUAUUAUUUCCAGCUAAAAAAAUGUUAAGACGAUUAAGUGGACAUAAACAAAUAAACAAACCAGACUUUUAUAUCGUAAGCAAACGACUUACACAAGUCUCCAGAUCACAAUUACAGUACACAAAAACCUUUUACAACAACUCAUUAAUUAUAUAUAACAACAGUACCUAAGAAGAUAAUUAGUUAAAAGCACACACAAACCGCAAUAACGUCCACUUUCUAAUAAUGCAGCCAUAAAUAGAAAGUGGGAAUUUGGUUCGAAAGCACAAAUUACAACUUACUAAUAACAACUAAACAUAGCAUCAUCACAAAGUCCUUGACCCCAAAACAUACGCAUGCACUAGUUGAGAACUAAGCACAUGACUUUGAUCUGCAACAUUGUUACCCCAGAAGAUGCCCUAAGACAACUUGUUUACCUUUCAUCUUGAGCUUCUGCUUGCUCAUCACAUGAUAACUUGUGACUUUUACGAGCAAUAGUCUCAACAAUGGCGGCAGCCAACAGGUGUUCCUGCGCUGGCUUGUUGAGAAAAGUAUCCAUGCCAGAAUUGAACCAUUCUCGUUCAUUAUCUGCGGUUACCAGAGCUGUAAAUGCAAUUAUGGGAAUGCUUUGACCCUUUUCAGCUUCAGCUUCUAGCUUCCUGAUUACUCUUGUUGCUUUACAGCCAUCCAUGCUGCCCAUCUGCUUAGAAAUUAAUUCAAUUAAUUGCUUACUCAUGCAAUAAAAUGAGCAAAAUUUAAUGUGAUAUAUGCCUAAUGUAGAAGGAGAAAAAGAUACCAUGACUGUACGGCCCCACAAAUCCUAACUUAAAUGGAGGAGUGAAAAUUAGAUAAAAAAAAUUUCAGAAAAAAAAAAGUUGAAUGUAUGCAUAUAUUGAGAGAAAGAUGUCGGUGCUCAUGAGUACUUGGCAGUCCAUGAGGAUUAAGUCAUAGUGAGGGGAAUUAUGAGUUUCCAAAUUGGAUCCAUGGUGGAGGUUUUGAAUUUGAUGAUUUUUCCUAUCUGCAUUGAUCAUGAGGGUCAUGGCUUCAACGGCAGCCUCUCCAUCUUUGACUAGAGUAACACUAGCUCCAAGCUUUUUUAGCAUUCUGAUUCCUAUCCUUUGUAGUACUGCUUGAUCUUCAACAAGCAAAACGCUUAGGCCUUCCAAAACUUUCUUCUCAUCAAGGCCCGUAACAUCAUCAUUCACGAGACAAGAAGAGGAAGAGCCUUCAGCUUGUGGAAUGAUAUUAUUGGUGACGGGGACAGGCUCAAACUCAAGCUGAAGCCCAUGCUCAAGCUCAAGCUUUUCAGGAUGGGAUGUUGUUUCAGCUUGCUCUUUGCCAAUAGACAUAUUGUAUUUUGUAUGCAAAAGAGACCAAAGCUCGUUGUGUGCUUGUAGCUCUGGUUGCUGUGUGAAGAAACUAGCUAGGGCUUUUUGGUAUUUAAAGGCAAAGUGAGGAGAGAUGAGAAUCGGAUCCAUUAAUUUAAUUAACCGGGGACACACACAUAACAACGGAAAAGCCCGUCUAAUCGGGUGAUGGUGGUGGGUUCAUUUGUAUUUUGUCUAGGUUUUUAAAGAAUGAUUCGAAUAAAUUUCUAUAGGUAAGGGCAAAUAAUUUCACUCAUUUAUAGCAAGAUUUGUGUACCAAUGACAGUGAAUUAACAUGGGGUGCUUGUGAUUUGUGAUUGUGUGGUGUGUUAGUGUGUGCGAGCCACAAAUCAUUUUUAGUGGAGUAAUGUACAUUGACCAUUGGAACCCUUAUGAGUGAUGGAUGAAGAAAGUUUGGGGGGGGGGGGGGUCCGGGGGUGGAAGUAGUGAGUGAGAGUUAGAAGUUAGCUCAGAAUGUCCAAAAAUUACAAUAAUGAUCAAAUAUUGCGCAAAUUUUCUAAUUUUCUUUUCUUUUUCUUUCCUUGUUUUUUUGUAAGGCCCGAGCAAAUUUGCAAAAGCCUGGCACGAAAAUCAAGAGUGCGAUUCAUCAUCAUUCAGUGGUAUAGUACGCACAAGGUUUGAUUGAUCAUUCAGAAUCACAUCCUUGAUUUUAUUGAUAUCUUCAAAACAAAUCACACCAAUUCAAAGGGUAUCCAAUAAUAUUCUUAUCAACUUAAGGUGGCUGAGUUGAAAUGAAAGUUGGUCAAUGACUUAGCAAUUCAAUGAGCGGUCAAUACUCCAAAAUUACUUUACUUUGAAUUUGUUCUGAAAUGAGGACACCUUGUUUUAAUUACUUUGAAAGUGAAAGAAGCCUGUCGUGUGUGUGUGUGUGUCUAUAUAUACACGCAACGCGUUAAAAAGGUAAAAGGUGAAAGCAAGAUAUUAAUGGUCUAGUGAAUAGCAAUAAUUUCGUGUUAUAGAGCAAAAUCCCUGUUAUUAUUACGUAUGCUAUUUGAUUAAUUCAUAAUUUCAUCCCCCAUUCAAAAGAUACUAUAGAGUCACAUUAUUCAUGAGAUUUUAUAAUUAUUUAUGUAGUUAAGUUCUAAUUUAAUAAUUACUAUUAUUAAUAUUUAUGCAUAGCAGUCUGGUAAUAUUAUAUAUCUAAAAAGGAAAAAAGAAAAGAAAAAGCUGGAAAUGUGGUGAGAAUUUUUUAAAGUACAAUGAAAAUGUUAUGUAGGGUAACAAAAAAAAAUUGAUGCAGUGUAAUGUUGAGCGGAUCUAACAUAAAAAUGUACAGGAUGUAAAAUAUAAAGAUGUGUUAAAGAUAGAAAAGGGCAUGAGCGUGUGCAAUAAAUUUGCCUCUGCAAUCUUAAAGCAAAGAUUGAGAAGAUUACCAAAUAAAAGAGAUUUUGAAAAAGCUGGUCAAUAAUGACAUGUACAAUAAUGUUAAUACGUCCAGUAACAGUGGCACAAAUUCAGUUUCAUUCUGUGAACUGUCUAUUUCAAUCUUACAAAAGAGAGAGAGGGGCACAGUCUGUAAAUUCAUUGUGAGAUCUUCAAGAGAUUUGAUAGAGCUAAUUUUUUUUUUUUUUUAAAACAACGCUUGUUUUCGGGCAAAAAUGCCAAAACAAACAGUGUUUUCUAUUAUUGUCAUAUAUGCAAAGCAAAUCUUCUGCCAAAUACAUAAUUUUCAUUUAUAUUAGACCCUCUUUGGUAUUUAUAUUAGGCCUUAUUUAGUAUUAAAAUUGGACGUUUAUAAUUUUUGGUUAAGUAUUGAUUACUACAAUUUAGAAGAUAAGUUAAUUAAUCCACCACUUAUACGAUGAAAGACCUAUAAUAUAUAUUUUUUUAUCAAAAUUAUAAAAAAUAUAUUUACUAAACACUAUUAACUUUUAUUUUGUAAUUAUAUUUUUUUUACAAUUGUAACUUUUAAUCUCAAUAUCUUAAUACUAAACAUAACCUAGAUCUGAUAACCAUAUGAAAAAAACAAAAAAAGUAAACCGCUGUAAUUGCUUUCAGAGCUUUUACGACCGAAAAUUCAGAAGCAUACAAGUGUUACCAAUUGCCAAAUUUAAUUUAAUUACAACAAACAUAUGUACGAACGCAAAUCUUUUGUAUGAUUUUACUUUAAAAAGAAGUGUUAAUUAAACCUUACCCACAAUUUUUAUUUGUUCUUAAACGCCGCAGCAUGGUUUCGUCAACAAUGGAUCUUCAUGGGGAAGAAGAAAUUCAUAUGCACACACAAUAUGAGACACGACUUUAAACAAAACUUCUCUAGCCAUUAGAUUAGAAGUUAAUAAAUGGUCAAGAUCAGGUGAGGUGAAUUAAUAAUCAUUAAACUUUCUCUCUCUCUCUCUCUCUCUCUCUCUCUCUCUUAUUUAUUCACGUUUUCUCUCUAACAUUAUUUACUCCAUUUUUUCUUGUCAAAAUGUUUUAUUUUCUCUGGACAUCGUCUUGAUCUGCUUCUCUUUCUUUAUUGCUCUCAUCUUCUCUUCUCAUUUCCUCAAAAUUAAAGAUAGCCACUCAAUAUGGAUUUAAAACAUUAAUUUUGUGGAGAUUGACAAAAGAUUAUCCAAUAUUAUCGAAAAUGCAUAUUGCAAUUUAGCGAAUGACUAUUAAAGUUGGAUUCGGAUACAAUCCACUUUGUAAUCAAGUAGAAUUUUGAGGCUGCGUAAGUGUUUAGUUAUUUUAUGAUUACUUUAUAAGCUUUACAAGAAUGAAACUUUCACUUCUAAAUCAAAUUUAAUGUGUGGUAAUGAAAAUUUUGAUGGAGAUGGUUCUUGUUAGGGCCAUUAGUUUUAUCCUAAACACUAUUCAACAAUUACAAGAUUAAAAGAGUACAAAAUUAUGUGGAGAGUAAAUUUUACUAUAAUUUAAAUUUUAAAUUUGAGAAGAAAUCGAAUAGGCAACUAAGGGAGAAAACGUUGUUAAAAAAAGAAAGAGAGAGAGAGAGAGAGAGAGAGAGAGAGAGAGAGAAAAUAAUGAUAAAAUAGUUAGUAAUUAAUAAGAAGGAGAAAAGAAAUUAAAUGAGUUAAAAUCUUCCCUUAUAAUGAAUCUUAACCGUUCAUUAUCCAGUAAUCCACUGGUCUAAAAAUCAUGUUUAGAAUUGUGUAAAAAAUUGUGUCUCUUGAGCCAAUCCCGUGUGUGUGCGCGCACGCGCACGUACAUAUAUAGAUGGAAAUUUAGAGAAUUAGUUAUUAAAAUUAUUUUUUGAAACAAAAACAAAUAAUUUAUCACGGAUAUAUGAAAAGAAUAUAUAGAAAGAUAUAUGAAAAGAAUCUCGAAUGCAUAACUAAUUAUAAUGAUGGAUUUGCAAGCUUUUUAUCUAGGGACUCCCUCAAUGAAUUAGAUCAGUCAACUUUGAUUUUCAAGCAGAAAAAGCAUCACAACCAGAUUUGAAAUAGACCUAGCUCAUGAUAUAAAAAAUAAUUGGCACAAGAAAAGCCACACCAUAAGAUUAAAAAUCUUCAGCAAUGAUAAGGAUGCAGCCAAAAUGAUAUAUGCUUGAUAUAUAAAUCCAAGCUAAUUGAAAAUUUCUGUCACAUCUUAGACCUAUAUGAACAGUUGCAUGGAGCUUAUUUUUGUGGUAAAGCCAUGUUCACAAGUUUGAAUGAAUCACAUGCAAUUCAAGAAAAAGCCUGUUCAGCUGGCGAGAAAAAAGGACAAGAAGCAUCUUUCCUUCUUCAAGUAAGUUUCUGCAAUAAUUUACAGACAAUUCAUAAUGAGAACAACUAUUGCCAGGUUCCACAAUUCCAUUACUGCAACCAAUUUACAAAAUUCCUCUCACAUCCUUAAAAUUAAAUUAGAAUACGUAUGUAACCUAUAAUAAAUAGUUAAGGAAUAAAUUAAUUCUUAACCAAGCAUAUACAAGAAGUUAAUUAGAAUUAAGUGUAUAUUUACUAAAAUUUCCAAAAUUGGAAAAAUAACAAAAAACUAAGAUUUACGAAAUUGGAAAAAUGAAAAAGAACAAAUUAAGAAGGGGAAUCUUUCAUAGAACAAAUUAAAGAUAUCUAAACUAGUGGUCUAUGUGAAAAGAAUGUAAAGUGAAUUGUGAUCAUAGAACAAUCGAUUUGAAAUCUGCAGAAGAUUACUAGGAACUGGUGAUUAAUUGCUCUAACCAAAAUUAAGUUUUCCUUGAUCUUCAUUUCUUGAUGUGAUUCGCAUGCAAGGCAUUUUGGCAUGACACACAUAUAGUCCACAGGCAACUUGGGUUUAGGAUGAUGUAGAUUUUCUUAUUUUUGCUUUUGUAUAUUUGUCCCCUUUUUUUUUUUCGUGUCAGCCUUGCAUGGAUUUUAAUUUGUUUCUAUUUCAAUCACGAACACCUUGUUUUCUUUGCUUUUGAGUAACAAAUUACACCCUUUUCGGGAUUAUUAAUUUUAAGAAGAAAGAGUUGCCGACUUCUCAUAAGUACCAAAUAGCAUGAUCAAUCCCUUUAAUCAAUUUUUUCAUGAAACACUUGAAGAAAAAUAAACAUAUAAUGUUAGGUUUUGAAAAUCUCAUUUCCGAAUUCUAGGGAUAGAGUCUUGAUAUUUUUCUUGCCAAAAUAACCCCGGCCCAUCAAGUAAUGAGAUUCAGAUAUAUGAAAACUCCUUAAUUCAUUUUGUGUGUGUGUGUGUACACGCCUCCUGUUCUCUUGUAAAGAGUGGUCUUAUGUUCAGUUAAUAAGAUUAAAAAAAAGAAAAAAAAACUAGUACUGGAAUUUGCAGAAACGAUAACUAACCUAAAAUUACAGAACAUCGGACGAUAGCAAUAGAAACCCUACUAUCUAGUACAGAAGUACAAGCUGAAGAAGAGAGAGCAUAUAUAUAAGUGAGUCAAAUCCUUCGACGGAGGAGUUGUUGGAUAGCAUUAGCGACAGGAGCAGGUGAACUAACAUGUGGCAAAUGUCCAUGCGUCGGCAGAAACUCCAGCACAGUCGGGCCACCAAGAUGGCGUCGCAUAUACUCGGCAACCGCUGGCGGGACAGACAGAUCAACAGAGCUCUGAAUUAUACAAACGGGAACCCUAACAAGG
rnacentral:lncRNA from 1 species